UACGGAGGGUGCGAGCGUUGUCCGGAAUCACUGGGCGUAAAGGGCGCGUAGGCGGCCUGAUAAGUAGGGGGUGAAAUCCUGCGGCUUAACCGCAGGGCUGCCUUCUAAACUGUCAGGCUAGAGCACAGUAGAGGCAGGUGGAAUUCCCGGUGUAGCGGUGGAAUGCGUAGAGAUCGGGAAGAACAUCAGUGGCGAAGGCGGCCUGCUGGGCUGUUGCUGACGCUGAGGCGCGACAGCGUGGGGGAGCAAACAGGGA
rnacentral:rRNA from 1 species